AUUGAACGCUGGCGGCAGGCUUAACACAUGCAAGUCGAGCGGAGACUUCGGUCUUAGCGGCGAACGGGUGAGGAAUGCCUGGGAAUCUGCCUGUUAGUGGGGGAUAACGAAUCGAAAGGUUCGCUAAUACCGCAUACGUCCUACGGGAGAAAGCAGGGGACCUUCGGGCCUUGCGCUAACAGAUGAGCCCAGGUCGGAUUAGCUAGUAGGUGGGGUAAAGGCUCACCUAGGCGACGAUCCGUAGCUGGUCUGAGAGGAUGAUCAGCCACACUGGAACUGAGACACGGUCCAGACUCCUACGGGAGGCAGCAGUGGGGAAUAUUGGACAAUGGGCGAAAGCCUGAUCCAGCCAUGCCGCGUGUGUGAAGAAGGCCUCGGUUGGUU
rnacentral:rRNA from 1 species